rnacentral:rRNA from 1 species
CCCCGAUUGGGUGAGAGCCCUAGCCCAUUCUCCCCUUCUCCACCGCAGCCGUCGCCGCCAUGGUCCCGUCCUCCUCUCCUCCCCGUACAUCUCCCAGCGCCGAGUUCGCUGCCUUAGCUGCUCUCCCCACUACCAGCACGCCGUCGACGGCCAACCGGGCCGCCGCACGCAGGAAGGAAGAGCAGCAGCAGCCGGGACGAGGGCGGGGGGCGUCUCCUUCUCCCCACCCCCUUGGCGCUCAGCAAGAGGGGCGCUGCUCGCCGCCCGGCCUCACGAGAGUGGUCGCCGCCCCGCCGUCUUCGGAUCUGGCCGCCGCCGCCAUCUCUAUUCUUGCCCCGUCGUUCUUUCGGUGCCGGGUGGAUGGGUGUCAUGGUGAGUUCGCGGAUGGAAGCCGAGGCUGUGGGUUCCAGUUCAAGGCAAGGGCCAGCGGCACCAAGCCGGCGCCCACCUUCCGGUGCGAGUUGCAGCUGCCCAAGGGUGAACAUGUCAGCUCCAUGGCCGUCAUCGCCAAGCUGCCCAGAGUAGGAGUGGCCUACAAACAUGAAUCCAAGCAGUCUGACAGGGGAGGAUACACCUCUCAUGAUGUUGUGUUCUUCAGUUUUGCAGGAACUGCACACAUAUCAAAUUCCAAUUGUACAUUCAUCUAUUGUUGUUCUCACGUUGCCUCAUCCGUGUCUUUCUUUCUAGGUUAUUAUUACCUGUCUUUUUUGGUCCAUGAUGAUGGAGUACCCAUGUCAUCUAUAUAAUGUCAAAAAAUUCUUAUUUGUACCUUCUGCAGGACAACGCAAUAUUUUGUCAAGAACAUUGUCAUUCCGGCGGUUGUAAUCAUGCAGACAGUGGGCUCAUUUGUUUGCUGCUUGUGCUACUAGAGGCAAAUUAUGAAAGGGGCGACAGUCGAUGACCCGAUCUACUUCAGUGAUGAUAAAGAUACGUUCAAUGAUGCUGUGUUCGUGAUGGUUGGUUCAGUUAUUCAGGUAGCCGCUGUAUUAUCCUCAGACGAUAUAUUGAAUCAUAUAUGCAGAUAGACUUGUGCAAGAACUAACUCUUGAUUUUUUUUCUGGACCAUUGUCUUUGUAGUGCAUAUAUGAUUGACUAAUAGUAAUUUAGUAGUGCAUUCUCAGGGUAUCUAUGUAGUGCAUAUAGUUCAUGAUUGACUAAUAGUAAUUUAGUUUUGACUGCCAUCAUAUCAGAAUAGUUAGAUUGCAGUUUCAAUCAUAAAUAGAUCGGUUUAUGAUUGAACUAUUGCUGCUGUCCAAGACCUUUCGAUUUUAUAUCCUGGUGAUCUUUCUGUCGGACUUUCUGAUCCUCCUAGCUGCACCUUGGCGAAGUCGGUCGGACUUUCUGAUUCUGCUAACGAUCAGUACGUGUGAUGGUCCAUUAAUCAUUUUUUUGAAAGUGCAUUUUUUAAAGAAACUUCCGUAUGGUUAAAUAAUACACAUGCAGACAUGCGGUUUAGUUGAUUUGGUCUUACAAAUAUUAUGGAUUUCUGGUUUAGAUACCGGAAUCGCUGAUAAAUACCACGCCUAGCCUCUGUUUCCCUUCCUUAGCUAACAGUGCUACGCACAUAUUUAUGGCAUUCCUGUCUACCCUGAAGCAGCAUAAAGGAACAACCCAUGGUAAAAGGCUUGUAUAUGGCCCAAUCAAUUAAACAUUGACAUGGCGGAAGCCGAAUAUAUGGUUCUUCCAAUUAUUAGUUACCCUUUUUCAUUCUCAGAGCAACUGAAUUAAUAUGAUGACAAAACGUACUAACCAGUUAAGUACCAUGGUUUCAGAACCAUAUUCUAAUAUUCAUACAGGCAAAUCAUUUUGAGGCGAAGAACCCAGAUGUAUUUUUCCUCAAAGUAACUUAAAAACCAAGCGAUCGGUCUAGCUUGGGGUCUCAAUGCGCAUUCGUAUCUACUGUAGUGUGCUGCUGUUUGUUUUGUACAACUUAUAAGAAACUCUGCACAUGCAUAUGAUGCCUAUGAAUGAAAGAUCAUGUAGUAAUGUUUUUUCCUUCUUUCCGGGAGAGCCUUUAGCUGCUAACAAACAUUGUGUUGUUUAUUGUGUGAGAGCUUUGAGCAGAGGAACCAAGUAGAAACUGCCUAGGCCUUACUUGUGUUGAUGUGAUGCCUUAGCAUAUAUGAUUUCAAAUCAAACAUUGUCAUAUCUUCUAAAUUAGUGUUUCCCAUCACACAACAGAAAUAAGUGAUUCAAAUUGAUAUGGGAGUGUUCUAUGAAAUUGCCUAAUGUUCGAAACAAUUAGUGGUUCAAAUUGCAAUAUAUUGUAAACAGUUUAUUGUUUUAAGAAUGUUACCAUGGUUUGAGAUUCAAUUGGUGAGGUCGGAUUUACUUUUAUAUUGUUUGGAUCAUGUUUACAUGUUUUUCUUGGUUGCAAGUGCCCUACAAUUUUAUAUUGACCGCACUUAUAAUGCUUAGAGAAUUCCAAGCACGAAACCAUGGUAUGCACAGUUGGUCAGACCUUCAAAAUUAUAUGGUCUCCAGCUCAUCAACUCAUUGAAAAUAAAAGGUCUGCCAUAACACUUUGCCCUCUUUUAUCAUGUUGGUUCACUUCUUUUCUGUACCACUUGCUCUUUUGGUACCUCAUUUUACAUGUGCCUAAUAAGUAAUGCAUCUUCCAUCAGUAUUCGCAUAUGGUUGAGAUGAAAAGUUGCAUCUAAUAUCAUGUAGUUCCAGUCAGAGUUUUCUGGUCCAGUACUUGCCAGGGAAUACUUACCUUGCCAUUUGCUGUGAUUAUGUGCUCUUAUGGGGCUGGUUUGUAGAUUGGUGAACUCAAGAGGCUGUUGGAGGGAGGUCAAGUAUGUUGGGUUAUAGAGGCGAGCCCCGACACCAUCAGGCAUUCUUACAUUGUGCACCUGAUCUCUACCAUGUAGAUGGAAAGGUCUAUGUGGGCUUGCCCAAGAUUGCUACUCUCUGCAGGUGAAUUGGGCACUUUACAAACUCGACUUCUAUGCUUCCAUAAUCAAUAGUCCUGAUUGAAUGAGUUGUAUCGGUGAUGUAAACUCGCUUCAUGUAUAUAAUCAACGUGACUUACUGUGCACAUAUAAGCUAUGAUAUAUUGUUCAUACACUUCCUAUUUCUGUGACUCGUCAUCUGGAUGGCAGAGUAAUAAUUAGUUGUGACGUUUGUUGGUAUAAUGUAUUGAACCUUUAUCCUUUUGGUAUAUCAUAUUGCAUUUCCUAUGAAAAUGCACUACUGAUAUGUAAUAGACUUUGGUACUUUGGAUAUUUUUUUCUUAACUUAUGAAAUAUAAAUC